GCUCCAGUAGUAUAACGGUUAGAACAUCGCUUUCACACAGCGGGGACCCAAGUUCGACUCUUGGCUGGAGCA
rnacentral:tRNA from 1 species